rnacentral:misc_RNA from 1 species
CACGUCUUACCGUAGUGCCCGGUUUGUCUUGAUUCCCGAUUGAUGAACAAGAAGGAAAAUGGAACUAUUGGAUUUUGUGACUCGCCCCCGGCUACGUGUCCUUUGGACCCUUCGCCCGCCCGCCGCCAGUGGAAGCAAGCUAGCCCCCUAUGUUGGUUGCCCCUUUCCCCUUUUCAUAAUAAUAAGGUAAGCAUUCAAGCCCAGCAAGACAAGAAAAGGCCCCUUACUAUAGAUAGGCUAAGGCGCCUUGUAUUACAUAAUUAUAAAAGCAACCUUUCGCGCAGCUCAAGCUUACUUACUAAGCAAACGUAGGCUUGGGCUCGAACAAGAAACGGAUGUUGCAACUUGCGCGAAAGCCGUUGCGCGUUGCUUGUUAGCGCUUUAGUUUGAUUGUAGGGCGUUUAGGCUUUACUAAUAACAUAGAAAGAAAGAACUUUUCCCAACUUAGGUUAGGUUUAGGCUUUAGCCCCUAUUAGUCAAGCUUUGAUUUGAAGUCAGCUGAAAAACAGAUGCGCGCUACUAGCGCGGCUCGCUUCGCUUUUGUUGCGGAGCGUAGCAGCUCGACCAGAGGGAGAGGAGUGAAGCUGCUUUUCAUUUUGUUAGGAGUAGGUGCUUGCCCUUAGUUGGUUGGGGGAAGAGGGCAUUUCCAUCGCGAAGGAUUCAGAUUCAAUCCAGCCACAGGUUCCCCUACGGCUACCUUGUUACGACUUCACCCCAGUCGAAGACCCCACCGUGGUAUGCGCCAAUAAGACCACCAAAAGCCUUUGUAGC